rnacentral:rRNA from 1 species
AUACUUAGGGUGCAAGCGUUAAUCGGAAUUACUGGGCGUAAAGCGCUCGUAGGCGGCUUGUUAAGUCGGAUGUGAAAUCCCCGGGCUCAACCUGGGAACCGCAUUCGAUACUGGCAAGCUAGAGUAUAGUAGAGGCAAGUGGAAUUCCGGGUGUAGCGGUGAAAUGCGUAGAUAUCCGGAGGAACAUCAGUGGCGAAGGCGACUUGCUGGACUAAUACUGACGCUGAGGAGCGAAAGCGUGGGGAGCAAACGGGAUUAGAAACCCCGGUAGUCC